rnacentral:lncRNA from 10 species
AUUCUGGGAAGCGGAGUUCCAGCCUUUCUCUUUCCGCGGGAGGGAAUGAAAGGGAGGAGACUACUUUGUCCCAGGAUCAGAACAGAACUACACAGCAAAAUUUAAGGUAGACUGAGAACGAAUCAUCUCAGUACAACUGGGAAUUUAGCCACAUAGGGGUUGGAUUCCACCGCAAGUAAAAAGUGGUGGAUGUGCCCAAGACACAGGGAAGAAAAAGAAGUAAACAGGGAAGUACAACACAGACUCUGAAAUGGGGCAUCAUGGAAGACGGAGCUUUGUCGUCUUGGUCUUUGCUGUAUAUUCACUUCCUACAACAGUGCUAAAUACCUUGUGGAUGCUUAAAUAUAUUAAAUGAAUGCAUAAAUGAAAAGAGUAAAUAAAGAGUGUAUAUGAAAGUAUGUAGAUAAAAUUCUUCACUAAGCCUUGGGGAUCCAGCUGCUUAAGGACUAAGACCGUAUCUAGCUCCUUUUAGUAUUUCCACAGCAUGCCAUGGAGAUACAUGUUUCUGAUUAUAUAUGAUACAUGGAAAUUAUAUGUUGUUGAAUGAGUGAUUGAGUAAAUGUGUACUAGGGCAGCUAAUCAUAAAUAUUUCUACUAUUGCUAAAAUGACUGGAUUUAUCCAUUCCUUCUGAGAGUUUAUACUGAUUGCUUAUAUUGUAUCAAAUACCGUAACUGAGGGCAAUGUUUACUCAAACUAAUAGCACCAUUCAAAUUUAUGCAAACAAUAACACUAUAUCUUUAAAAUGUUUUCACUAAAAGCUGCAUAAAGAGUGUAUUCAACAACAAUAGAAUAAUUUUACAAUCUUUUUUCUUGCUUAAUGGCCAUUUGUGCCUUCUGACAUGCUGCUAGCCAUUCAAAGGUCACACUACCUUGAAGUUGAAGAUCAAGACAAAUGAUUAGACUCAUAAAAGACAAAUCACGUCUUUCUGGACAGGUGAUUAUUAAUAAUUAAUUAGCAUUUAAACAUGUAUUAUUUAAGUUCUUUUUAAGUUAUAAAGUCUUUGAUUUGCUAAACAGUUUAAAUAAUGAAUAAAACAUAAAAUAAUAAUAGUUACCAUUUAUUUAAUUCCAUAAUAACUGAUUUGUAUGUAUUAUAAGCUUUCUUUCUGAAAGCAGAGUUUGGAGGUGGGUUCAUAACUUUCUACAAACAGAAAACUGAGAUUUAGAGGGUUAGCUAGGGAAGAAUUUAAAAUUAGAUCCGUCUUAUUAAAAAAACAAUCUAUGUUCUUGUCUUAGUCAGCUUGGGCCUCCAUAACAAAAUACAAUGGACUGUUGGCUUCAAAAACUGAAACUUAUUUUCUCACAGUUUUGGUGGCUGGUGGGUCAGAGAUCAAGGUGUUGGCCAAAUGUGUUUUUUUUUUUUUUUUUGAGGAUUCUCUUCCUGGCUCACAAAUGGCUGCUUUCCUUGUCAUUGAUGACUUGAUACAGAGGGGGAGAGGGAGAGAGAGAGAGAGCAAAGUGUGUGUUUGUGUGUGUGUCUCUGUGUGUGUUUAUAUUAGAGAGAGAGAGAGACAGAGAUCUUACACUUUUUAUAAGGUCACAGUCUUGUGGUAUUAGUACCUCAUUUUUAUGACCUCAUUUAACCUUAAUUACCUCCUAGAGCCUUUAUCGCCAGAUACAGUCACAUUUCACAUCGAAGGUUUGGGCUUCGACAUAUAAAUUCUGUGGGAUACAAUUCAGUCCAUAGCAAUUCUGAAGCACUAUAAUAUACUCUUUUAAUUUUUAAAUAAAGAUGGAAUUAUUUAAUAUGUUAUCUUUCAGUUGCCUUCUGGGUGUGAUUUACAUUGUGACUUAUAUAUAAUACUAACUCCCUGAAAAACUCUCUGACACAUAA